GCGGAAGUGGCGCGAGGUGUCGGGCCUGUGGAGACCUUCGGGGAAGGUGGCGGCCGAGGUGGCGGUCGAGAGAGCAGGACCGGAGACAGGUGGAUGCGGAGGAGGCCCAGCCAGCAGAGGCAAGACAGGGCCCAGCAGUGGAGAAGAGCAGAGACAAGGUUGCAGGCCUUGAAUGCGGCAAAGCAGAAACAAUGGACCUCAAGUUCAACAACUCCAGGAAGUAUGUCUCCAUCACCGUGCCCUCCAAAACCCAGACAAUGUCGCCGCACAUCAAGUCGGUUGAGGACGUCGUGGUGCUGGGUGUGAACCUCAGCAGGUUUAAGAAGCUCACACAGUUUCUCAUAUGUGUGGCUGGAGUUUUUGUAUUUUACCUAAUUUAUGGAUACUUACAGGAGUUGAUAUUUUCAAUGGAAGGCUUUAAGCCUUACGGCUGGUACCUUACUUUAGUACAGUUUGCAUUUUACUCUGUAUUUGGCCUAAUAGAACUCCAGCUCACUCAGGACAAAAGGAGAAGAAUACCAGGAAAAACCUACAUGAUAAUAGCUUUUCUAACUGUGGGUACUAUGGGCUUAUCAAACACUUCCUUGGGCUACCUGAAUUACCCCACCCAAGUCAUCUUCAAGUGCUGCAAACUGAUUCCUGUUAUGCUAGGAGGAGUUUUUAUUCAAGGAAAGAGGUACAACCUUGCAGACGUGUCCGCUGCAGUGUGCAUGAGCCUUGGCCUGAUCUGGUUUACCCUUGCUGACAGCACAAUUGCACCAAACUUUAAUCUGACAGGUGUGAUGCUUAUCUCCCUGGCACUGUGUGCAGAUGCUGUCAUUGGGAACGUUCAGGAGAAAGCUAUGAAACUGCACAAUGCUUCCAACUCCGAGAUGGUUUUGUAUUCGUACUCAAUCGGUUUUGUGUACAUUUUGUUGGGAUUGUCAUGCACCAGUGGACUGGGCCCUGCAGUGGCAUUUUGUUCAAAGAACCCUGUUCGGACUUACGGCUAUGCCUUCCUGUUUUCCCUCACUGGUUACUUUGGAAUCUCCUUUGUUCUGGCCCUCAUUAAAAUCUUUGGUGCUCUUCUGGCUGUAACAGCAGUGAUGAGGAUGUCAUUGUCCACCCUGUAGAGGACUGAAGGUUGCCUUUGAUGUAUUUGGAGAGAUGGGGAGCAGAGUGGGAGGAACCAGUGACUGCUGCAUCGUUUCCCAGAGCUGUAGAUGCACACCGGCUUCCAUGAUAGAGGCAGAAAGGUUUUACUGUCUAAUAAAAGGCAGAGGAAGGAAUAGCUAACACAGAGCCCUUCCUGUGUGCUAGACACCAUUUUGGGUGAGUCCUAACCAGCUGGCACCAUAUGCACAGAUAACGUGAGUAUGGAGAGGUAAAGCAGCUCACGUGACAGCCUGCUGGAGUCGGGGUUCAGGCAGCACCCCGGCUCCAUGCCUGCUGUCUUCACCGUGCUCCCUUGGUUAGGCCUCACUACCCUCCCUACCAUCACAGCUUCCUGCCAGGCGGCUGCACAGAGUCUGAGAAUUUACAAGACAUACAGUCCUCCCUCUGUGGAAACUUUCUAGGAUGCUGCACUCCUCAAAAAAACACAGCUACCCAUAUUUUCCUGGCCACAGCCUAAGUCACAUGACCACACCUAAGUAUAGGGAAGACUUCUGACAUGUGUGCCCAGAGCAAGUUCUUCAGUCACUCACGCUUGAAUGUCAAGUGUAAGGAGCAGGAAGGAAUCUGUGAGACAAGGUGUGGGACUGAGAAAAGCAGUGGGAGGGUAGAGCGCUAGCAUGGAGAGCUGUGUGCUCCUCUUCUGCUUGCACUGAAUUGGACAGUCUCAGGCCUUACGGCAGAGGUUGAUGGGUAAUACCCAGAGUGGGAAGAAGUGUUAAUACAAAUGUAUAAAGAGCAGGACUGUCACAACUACUGUCCUAUCCACAGAGGUCACCAUGCCUAAAUCCUGUAAGCCAUUGUAGUGAGCAUGCCUGGAAUCUCAAUGGGAUGGAGGCCAGAGCAGGAUGAGCAAAACAUGGCAAGACCUGUCUCAGAAACACACAGAAUAUCUGGGUACUAAUGAACCUUCCACUAUUUUGAAAGGAUAACUGUAGGCAUAAAUUUUUUGUAGCCUAAUUUAAAUAAGGGUUCAACCUCUUCUCUAGCCCACCGCCCAGCAGAGGUAAUAGAAGGGAAAAUUAUUAGGAUAUGGGGGAAGUGGACCUGGUCAGCCAUAGUUCUUUGGGGACAAGCUCCGUCUUUUUGGGCAGCAGUUCAGUCCUGUAGCAAACACCAGUUGAGAUUCAGCAGCUGCAGACCAGUCCUCUAGGUAGGCAGACCCCAAGCAGCUGAAGAAUCCUGAAGAAAGCACUAGGCUUGCCCACCUGCCUGAGGUGAGACCACAGAAACGGCAAGCUGCUUUAGGAAGCUUACAAGCAGUUCUUGGGCGAGUUUCUCUCAGUGGCAGCAUUACCACAAGCUGAGCUCAACAACACUAUGUAAGGCGAACCAAUACAUGCUUGUCGUUAGUGAAGCAGAGAAACCAAACCAAGGCUCAGUGCUUGUCCCCCACUGUGGGGUCAUAGUCAUACUCCUUCAUCAAGUGUCCUUUACUGUGUCUGCUGUAUCCACACAUCCUUUCACCUGGUCUGCCUCAGGAAAACAGACUUUGGAGUGUUUGCUUUAGCAAGACAUCCUUUCACCUGUGUGCCCCAGGAAAAUACCAUUUGAUGUAACCAACUUUCCAAAGAACUGGAAGUUCCCACUUCAGAUAACCCUUGCUCUACCCAGUAAUUUCUUAUACUGGAAAGCCUGUGCUGAGGCAGCUGAUGAACACUUACUACAGUUGUACGCAGACAUUUGAUGGAUCAACGCCAGUUCUCCAAACCUUUACUUCUAUGGCAGCAUGAAUUUGGUUGGUUGGUUGUAUUGUUUCUGGUAUCUUGUCAUAUACAGAGCUAUAAAUAUUUGUAGACAAAUGAUUUCCAGAUAUUACCGCAGCAGUAAGAUACAUCUAACUCUUUUCCCUGCAGUGACAACAGGACGAAAAGCAAUGACCAUCGUCCUGUCCUUUCUGUUCUUUGCUAAGCCAUUCACAUUUCAGUAUAUAUGGUCUGGCUUGCUAGUUGUCCUUGGCAUAUUUCUGAAUGUUUACA